rnacentral:rRNA from 1 species
GCCUGCCCUGUGACACAAUGUUCAACGGCCGCGGUAUCUUGACCGUGUGAAGGUAGCGUAAUCAUUUGUCUUUUAAAUGGAGACCUGUAUGAAUGGCGUAACGAGAGCUUAACUGUCUCACUCUUUCAGUCAAUGAAAUUGAUCUCCCCGUGCAGAAGCGGGGAUAAGCACAUAAGACGAAAAGACCCUAUGGAGCUUCAGAAUCUGAGGCAGCCCAAACAAAUUUAAACAAAAUUCAGGACCCUGCUCUCACAUUUCUUCGGUUGGGGCGACCAUGGAAAAAAACAAAACCUCCACGAAAAAAAGUACCGAUACUUGUAUGAAUUAACGAAGCACAACUCUAAAUUCCAGAAUAUCUGUUUUUAAAUGAUCCGGCUUAUUUUAAGCCGAUCAACGAAUCAAGUUACCCUAGGGAUAACAGCGCAAUCCCCUUCUAGAGCCCACAUCGACAAGGGGGUUUACGACCUCGAUGUUGGAUCAGGACAUCCUAAUGGCGCAACCGCUAUUAAGGGUUCGUUUGUUCAACGAUUAAAGUCCUACGUGAU